UACAGAGGUCUCAAGCGUUGUUCGGAUUCAUUGGGCGUAAAGGGUGCGUAGGCGGCGCGGUAAGUCGGGGGUGAAAUCCCGAGGCUCAACCUCGGAACUGCCUUCGAUACUGGCGAUCUUGAGUCCGGGAGAGGUGAGUGGAACUCCGAGUGUAGAGGUGAAAUUCGUAGAUAUUCGGAAGAACACCAGUGGCGAAGGCGGCUCACUGGCCCGGUACUGACGCUGAGAUACGAAAGCGUGGGGAGCAAACAGG
rnacentral:rRNA from 1 species